GACCGCGUAGCUCAGCUGGUGGAGCAUGCGCGUGUACGCGGCGUCCAUGCGUGGGUUCAAAUCCCACCGAGGCUA
rnacentral:tRNA from 1 species